UUACGCCCGAUCUCGUCCGAUCUCGGAAGCUAAGCAGGGCCGGGCCUGGUUAGUACUUGGAUGGGAGACCGCCUGGGAAUACCAGGUGCUGUAAGCUU
rnacentral:rRNA from 1 species